AAUCCAUAGGUUAAUGAGGCGAACCGGGGGAACUGAAACAUCUAAGUACCCCGAGGAAAAGAAAUCAACCGAGAUUCCCCCAGUAGCGGCGAGCGAACGGGGAGGAGCCCAGAGCCUGAAUCAGCAUGUGUGUUAGUGGAAGCGUCUGGAAAGGCGCGCGAUACAGGGUGACAGCCCCGUACACAAAAGCGCAUGUGCUGUGAGCUCGAUGAGUAGGGCGGGACACGUGGUAUCCUGUCUGAAUAUGGGGGGACCAUCCUCCAAGGCUAAAUACUCCUGACUGACCGAUAGUGAACCAGUACCGUGAGGGAAAGGCGAAAAGAACCCCGGCGAGGGGAGUGAAAAAGAACCUGAAACCGUGUACGUACAAGCAGUGGGAGCACCCUUUGGGGUGUGACUGCGUACCUUUUGUAUAAUGGGUCAGCGACUUAUAUUCUGUAGCAAGGUUAACCGUAUAGGGGAGCCGGAGGGAAACCGAGUCUUAACCGGGCGUUAAGUUGCAGGGUAUAGACCCGAAACCCGGUGAUCUAGCCAUGGGCAGGUUGAAGGUUGGGUAACACUAACUGGAGGACCGAACCGACUAAUGUUGAAAAAUUAGCGGAUGACCUGUGGCUGGGGGUGAAAGGCCAAUCAAACCGGGAGAUAGCUGGUUCUCCCCGAAAGCUAUUUAGGUAGCGCCUCGUGAAUUCAUCUCCGGGGGUAGAGCACUGUUUCGGCUAGGGGGCCAUCCCGGCUUACCAACCCGAUGCAAACUGCGAAUACCGGAGAAUGUUAUCACGGGAGACACACGGCGGGUGCUAACGUCCGUCGUGAAGAGGGAAACAACCCAGACCGCCAGCUAAGGUCCCAAAGUCAUGGUUAAGUGGGAAACGAUGUGGGAAGGCCCAGACAGCCAGGAUGUUGGCUUAGAAGCAGCCAUCAUUUAAAGAAAGCGUAAUAGCUCACUGGUCGAGUCGGCCUGCGCGGAAGAUGUAACGGGGCUAAACCAUGCACCGAAGCUGCGGCAGCGACGCUGAUGCGUUGUUG
rnacentral:rRNA from 1 species